CGUCGCCGACGGGGAUUCCGGCUCCCAGGUGGUCCUGCCUGCUGCCCGCGGGCACGUGCGGCCUGCAAACGGAGUGAGAUUCCUCACGGUCUCCAAGAGGGGAGAUGCCUUAUGUUCCCAAAGAAGGGAGAUGCCUCACGUUCUCCAGAGAAGUGAGGUGCCUCACCUUCUCCGAAGAAGGGAAAUGGCUCAACCUCUUCGAAGAAGUAAGAUACCUCACGUUCACCCCACGUGCAUCUUCAGCAGUGAAUUUAAAACUCGACUAAAAACCCCGGAAGAUGGCAGUUAGCCUACUCAGCCUUGAGCCGUCUUACCUGGAUCUAGGGCACCAUGAAGCUCUGAGCAGAGUUCCUGUGCUAUGCAGCAGGCGCUCAUUGAAAGGUCGGGCAAGGUCAGGCAUGUUGAGGCAUGCCUGGACAUGUUGAGGCUUGCCCGGGCGUGUUGAGGCAUGCCCCGGAAAAGUGCCGCAGACAAGUCCCGGAGGCGGGCCGACAACCAAGCCAUCCAAUCAGGUGCUGGCACGGAGCCCUUGGACACCAACCACCGCUGAGCCCGCGCUUUCUUCCUUAUAUGGGAGCCCGGCCCUGGCUAUAAAACCCUUCCCCACCCCUCAUACCUCGCAGACUCCCUUUGCUUCCUUGCUCACCCGCCCCCGGGAGUUCUGCCCGAGAGCGACCGCCCAAUAAAGGCCCUGAUCAACGGUC